CUCCUCCUGCCGCCCCACCUCCGUCCCCCUGCCCACGCCGCCGCAGAUCUGUGCACGCGCUUCCCAGGCCAGCGCGCAAGGCAGCUAGCGGCAAGCGCAUGUAAGUAGCGGGAGACACCAGGCAUUUUCAGCGCUCUUGUGUCUUUGGUUUGGGAGCUAGCAGCUGUGCUUGCCAGGUGUUUAACGAAAUUCCAUAUUUCCAAGGGGCAGAGAAAGGUAGGCUACCAUUGGUAUGCCCAUCAUACACGACCUGCGCUGUUCGCUCUCAUGGUUUUAUUGUUGUCUUCUUUGAGAAAAUAAAAACUAAUAGCAGAACUGGCUGUCCAUUUGUAUUGAGAGGCAUUGGUCUCUAGUAUUCAUAGGAAUUUUUUCAGACAGUGUUUAUCCCUUUUAUGAUGCUUCAAAGUUGUCCGUGUCCAUGUUUUACUUUGAAGGUACUCACUAAGUCUGUAUAUGUCUUGGCUAGCAAUAAUCUUUGUAUUACUACACAAAGAAUCUUCUCAAGUCAUAGUAUUAAUAAUUAUAGUCCAACUAUGAAAAAAUUACUGUAGUAUGAUGUGCUGUAAUUUAAUAAAUGCUUUUGUGUAACUGCAAUAUUUUUCUUUUCUUUAUCAAUUUGAUUAUUAUUUUUGGUGCUUUAUUUUUUCUAAAUAAAUUACUCAUGUUGCUUGUGCACUCUUUCCAUGGUUAUCAAUCCUUGCAAUCAUAUAGGAUAACUAACAUAUUAUGGAACCAUGGAUCUCAAGUUUUACCGUUAGCACUGCAGAGCCUUAUUAGUGAGCUACCAAAAUCGGUGAGGAAUAUAGUUUGAUCGAGAAACAGGUCUAGUCAUUGGUGAAACUGCUAUAGCUAGAAAUUGGGUUUCCUUAAUGCAGAUCUGAUUACUUUCUGGGAUUUGCGGGAUUGGAGUUGAUCAGUUGAGGGAAGGAGAACUCGGUUGCCAAUGACCCGCGACAACUUCACCUAUCUUUGCAUUCAAGAAGGACCUCAGACUCAUCUGGUUCUUGCGUGGUCUCCUUCUGUUCAUGUACGCAAUUUUUGGAUGCGGUCUGUUCGUGCUCUGGAGAGGUUAGUUUGGUUUCGCAAUGUUCAAGACUACCGUCUUGUUGUUGAUUCAGAUCGCAACUUUGCAUUCAUUCUAUGCCCUGAACAUGUUAAUGCUGAGGGAUUGAGGGCUAGGUAUGUCACUGUUUGCGACACCAAGUUCUUCAAGUUAGUGAAAAGUGUUGUGAAGAUGCCUUACUAUGAUGAUACUAACCAGUACUCAAGGGCCUGCAACUGAGUCGGACAGUAGUUUAGUUGGAUAGUAGUUUGAUUGGUCUGUUAUUUUGGAUGGCAUUAUGUCAGAGUUGGCGAGGAAAAGACCUGCUUUUGAAAUGUAGUUGCAAACUGAUAUUCUACUAUCUACUUUGGGCAAGCAACAAUAUGUGUAAUAUUUAAGUUUGAAUUGAAAUCAAAUUUGUUCAGAUCCACUAAGUGUGGUUAUUUUCAA